CUACCUGUGUGUGUAUUAACACCCCGGCCUCCUCGCUACCUGUAUCAACUAUGGCCUGAGUAUGAUAGACUUAUCCAUGGUUUAAACAGAAUAUAUUGUUUUCAACUUUGAAAAUAAGAAUAUGGAAAUCCAGAUGCAGAAAUGUGAGAAGAAAAGAGAGUAAACAGAGUGGAAGGUCAGGUGACCUUGCCUGUCAUGAAUAUGAAGGUCAAGGUGUGUGAAUUGUGAAAUUUCCAAGAGAACCUCACUGAAGCAAAGAAUGAAGAAAGAAUUGCAUUUGGCCCUGGGAGGGUGCAGGGGUGAAUGGUGCAGGAGCUAAAUCUUUAUCAUACCCAGAAAUCAACAGCCACUAUUUGAAAUCAUCUAAAUUCGUGCUGCUAACCUUCAGUGUACACACGAAUCACCUGGGGAUCUUACUAAAAGCUAGUUUCUGAUUCACUAAAUCUGUGUGUGGUGGAAGUUGAGGGCAGAGAAGCUCCCGAGGGUGUCAAGCUGACUCUGAACCCGACUUUGAGGGUUAAGGUCCCAAAUGGCAUCGCCAGCACCAGGGACAGACACUAAAAUUGUAGAAAUCGUCUCAAGAAAUGAACAGCCUCUAAGUCAGAUGUUGAAUGUGAAAGAAAUCAGGGUGUGUACGUGUGUGUGCAUUUGUGUGUGCACGUGUGUGCCUGUGUUUGUCUCUGUGCAUGUAUGUUUCUAUGUGUGCACAUGUGUGUAUGUGUCUGUACAUGUGUGUUUCUGUGUGUGUGCCUGUGUGUGUAUUGGCUUAGAUCUGUUCGAGACUUUUUAUUUGAUGAGAUCGAUAUAUGCC
ensembl:lncRNA novel transcript